CCGACCUAUACCAGGAUCCUCUUGAAGCUACCACAAGCUAAGCUUCAUGUAAUGUCCUAGGCUUACCCUCCUAAGAACCUCUCACAUGGGAAAGUCAGUUCUGGAUACUCACGAAGUAAUAAUCAAGGCUCCUAAGGAUGAAUAUUAGUGUUUUUAAAUGAGAGACGCUAUAUUUUUUAAAGAAGUUUUUAAGCCGCAGAUUCGUCCAAAAGCAUUCCGUUACUGGUUUUUCAAAAAUGUCGUUUGAAAGAUAUAGUUUUUCGAUUUCAUUCUUUUGAUGAGGCACCUCAUAUUUUUUAUUUAUUUCGAGAUUUAAUUCAUUUUGUGCCUAUUGUAUGAGUAAUAUAUCCAUAUCCCAUUAAUAAACUCUCCUCUAUAUCUUUAACACGUUAAUUGAAAUCAUGAUUUGUAAUGAUUGUCAUAUAAACCAUAAAGUCACUGAAAAAAACGUUUUAGAAUUUUUCGAGCAUCUCGAACAGAAAGCAAUAUAAAGCGAAAUAUUUCAGUCAUUUUUCAGAAACGCCCAACUCGAGACUGAAUCAAGAUGUCUAUGAUCUGCUUUCUGAUAUCUAAUUAUUUC